GUCCCUGUAGCUCAGCAGGAUAGAGCAACGGACUUCUAAUCCGUAGGUCGGGGGUUCGAAUCCCUCCAGGGACG
rnacentral:tRNA from 1 species